rnacentral:rRNA from 1 species
CUCUGUGACUCCUACGGGAGGCAGCAGUGGGGAAUAUUGCACAAUGGGCGCAAGCCUGAUGCAGCAACGCCGUGUGAGUGAAGAAGGUUUUCGGAUCGUAAAACUCUGUCCUAAGGGAGAAACAAAUGACGGUACCUUAGGAGGAAGCCCCCGGCUAACUACGUGCCAGCAGCCGCGGUAAUACGUAGGGGGCAAGCGUUAUCCGGAAUCACUGGGCGUAAAGGGUGCGUAGGCGGCUUAGCAAGCCAGGGGUGAAAGGCAUUGGCUCAACCAAUGUAAGCCUUUGGAACUGUUAAGCUUGAGUGCAGGAGAGGUAAGUGGAAUUCCUAGUGUAGAGGUGAAAUUCGUAGAUAUUAGGAGGAACACCAGUGGCGAAGGCGACUUUCUGGACUGUAACUGACGCUGAGGCACGAAAGCGUGGGGAGCGAACAGGAUUAGAUACCCUGGUGA